AACGAACGCUGGCGGCAGGCCUAACACAUGCAAGUCGAACGCCGUAGCAAUACGGAGUGGCAGACGGGUGAGUAAGGCGUGGGAACCUACCUUACGGUCGGGAAUAGCUGGGGGAAACUUGGGGUAAGACGGGAUACGCCCUUACGGGGACAGAUUUAGCGCCGUUAGAUGGGCACGCGUAGGAGUCGCUAGUGGGUGAGGUAAUGGCUCACCAAGGCGACGCUCCUUAGCUGGUUUGAGAGGAUGAUCAGCCACACUGGGACUGAGACACGGCCCAGACUCCUACGGGAGGCAGCAGUGGGUAAUAUUGGACAAUGGGCGCAAGCCUGAUCCAGCCAUGCCGCGUGAGUGACGAAGGCCUUAGGGUUGUAAAGCUCUUUUGGCGGGGAAGAUAAUGACGGUACCCGAAGAAUAAGCUCCGGCUAACUUCGUGCCAGCCGCCGCAGUAACAC
rnacentral:rRNA from 1 species